rnacentral:snRNA from 1 species
AGAUGUGAGGGCGAUCUGGCUGCAACAUCUGUCACCCCAUUGAUUGCCAGGGUUGAUUCAGCUGAUCUGGCUGGCUAGGCAGGUGUCCCCUUCCUCCCUCACUGCUCCAUGUGCAUUCUUCCCGAAGCUGUGCACUUGGUCGAAGAGGACGACCAUCCCCAGUAGAGGAGGACUGUUCUUCGGUCAAAGGCAUACCAGUAGCUGUGCUCCCCUGCUAGAACCUCCAAACAAGCUCUCAAAAGUAUUAAUAUCAACAGUACAACAAUAUUAAAUAGUGCUUUAACUGUAUCUAACAAUGCUUUGAGC